UACGAACUGUGCAAACGUUAUUCGGAAUCACUGGGCUUAAAGGGUGCGUAGGCGGCUUGUCAAGUAGGGUGUGAAAGCCCCCGGCUUAACCGGGGAAUUGCGCCCUAAACUGACGAGCUGGAGUGGGACAGGGGUGUGUGGAACUUCCGGUGGAGCGGUGAAAUGUGUUGAUAUCGGAAGGAACGCCGGUGGCGAAAGCGACACACUGGGUCUCAACUGACGCUGAGGCACGAAAGCCAGGGGAGCAAACGGG
rnacentral:rRNA from 1 species